GGGAUUGCCCCAGUAACGGCGAGUGAAGCGGCAGUAGCUCAAAUUUGAAAUCUGGGGUCCCCGACCUCCGAGUUGUAAUUUGGAGAGGCAUCUUCGGGGGGGAGCGCCGGCCCAUGUUCCUUGGAACAGGACGUCGCAGAGGGUGAGAAUCCCGUGCCAGGCCGGCUCCCUCCUCCCGGGUGAAGCGCCUUCGACGAGUCGAGUUGUUUGGGAAUGCAGCUCCAAGUGGGUGGUAAGUUUCAUCUAAAGCUAAAUACCGGCGGGAGACCGAUAGCGCACAAGUAGAGUGAUCGAAAGAUGAAAAGCACUUUGAAAAUAGAGUCAAAAAGUACGUGAAAUUGUUGAAAGGGAAGCGCUUGAGACCAGACUCAGGCCCGGGCAAACACCGCGCCCCCCCCGGGGCCGUGCAAUUGCCUGGGGCUGGGCCAGCAUCAGUCGGCGUGGCGGGAAAAAGGCGCGGGUAAUGUGGCUCCCCUCGGGGAGUGUUACCAGCCCCGCGCUCAAUGCCGCCGACGCCGACUGAGGACCGCGCCUCGGCUAGGAUGCUGGCUUAAUGGCCUUCAGCGACCCGUCUUGAAACACGGACCAAGGAGUCUAACAUCUAUGCGAGUGUUUGGGCGCCAAACCCUUGCGCGGAAUGAAAGUGAGCGGAGGUGGGAACCCCCCAGCGGGGCGCACCAUCGACCGAUCCUGAUGUCU
rnacentral:rRNA from 1 species